rnacentral:rRNA from 1 species
GUUGGGCACUAGGUGUGGGGGACAUUCCACGUUCUCCGCGCCGUAGCUAACGCAUUAAGUGCCCCGCCUGGGGAGUACGGCCGCAAGGCUAAAACUCAAAGGAAUUGACGGGGGCCCGCACAAGCGGCGGAGCAUGCGGAUUAAUUCGAUGCAACGCGAAGAACCUUACCAAGGCUUGACAUUCACCGGACCGCACUGGAGACAGUGCUUCCCUUCGGGGUCGGUGGACAGGUGGUGCAUGGUUGUCGUCAGCUCGUGUCGUGAGAUGUUGGGUUAAGUCCCGCAACGAGCGCAACCCUCGUUCUAUGUUGCCAGCACGUGAUGGUGGGGACUCAUAGGAGACUGCCGGGGUCAACUCGGAGGAAGGUGGGGAUGACGUCAAAUCAUCAUGCCCCUUAUGUCUUGGGCUUCACGCAUGCUACAAUGGCCGGUACAAAGGGUUGCGAUACUGUGAGGUGGAGCUAAUCCCAAAAAGCCGGUCUCAGUUCGGAUUGAGGUCUGCAACUCGACCUCAUGAAGUCGGAGUCGCUAGUAAUCGCAGAUCAGCAACGCUGCGGUGAAUACGUUCCCGGGCCUUGUACACACCGCCCGUCAAGUCACGAAAGUUGGUAACACCCGAAGCCGGUGGCCUAACCCCUUUGUGGGAGGGAGCCGUCGAAGGUGGGACUGGCGAUUGGGACUAAGUCGUAACAAGGUAGCCGUACCGGAAGGUGCGGCUGGAUCACCUCCUUUCUAAGGAG